AAGUCGUAACAAGGUAUCCGUAGGUGAACCUGCGGAUGGAUCAUUAACACAACUCAAACCACUGGUUUAGCAGAUCUCUCUCUUCAGAGGGUUUGCUAUUCCUUUUAAAACCCAAACUUUGCGAACACGUCAACGUUUCUUUUUCUUCACAUUUAAAAACUAACACAAUAAUACAACUCUUAACAACGGAUAUCUCGGCUCUC
rnacentral:misc_RNA from 1 species